GAUGAACGCUAGCGGCAGGCCUAACACAUGCAAGUCGAGGGAGAGGUUACCUUCGGGUAACCAAAACCGGCGCACGGGUGCGUAACGCGUAUACAAUCUGCCUUUCACAUAGGGAUAGCCCGAAGAAAUUUGGAUUAAUACCUAAUGGUAUAUAAGAGCGGCAUCGUUUUUAUAUUAAAGCUACGGUGGUGAAAGAUGAGUAUGCGUUCUAUUAGCUAGUUGGAGAGGUAACGGCUCCCCAAGGCGACGAUAGAUAGGGGUUCUGAGAGGGAUGUCCCCCACACUGGUACUGAGAUACGGACCAGACUCCUACGGGAGGCAGCAGUGAGGAAUAUUGGACAAUGGUCGGAAGACUGAUCCAGCCAUGCCGCGUGCAGGAUGAAGGUCCUAUGGAUUGUAAACUGCUGUUGUAAGGGAAGAAUAAGGAGUACGUGUACUUUGAUGACGGUACCUUACGAAUAAGCAUCGGCUAACUCCGUG
rnacentral:rRNA from 1 species